GAACGCCGUAUGAGGUGAAAGUCUCACGUACGGUGUGGAGCAGGGGAAAAGACGGAGAUAGCAUCAAACUCUUAC
rnacentral:ncRNA from 1 species